rnacentral:rRNA from 1 species
CGGCGAGCGAAAAGAAAAUAGUUCAGCACUAAGUCACUUUGUCUUUAUGGCAAAUGUGAGAUGCAGUGUAUGGAAUGUCAAAUUUCUAGUAUGAGAAAUUAACGAUUUAAGUCCUUCUUAAAUGAGGCCAUUUACCCAAAGAGGGUGCCAGGCCCGUAUAACGUUAAUGAUUACUAGAUGGCAUUUCCAAAGAGUCGUGUUGCUUGAUAGUGCAGCACUAAGUGGGUGGUAAACUCCAUCUAAAACUAAAUAUAACCAUGAGACCGAUAGUAAACAAGUACCGUGAGGGAAAGUUGAAAAGAACUCUGAAUAGAGAGUUAAAUAGUACGUGAAACUGCUUAGAGGUUAAGCCCGAUGAACCUGAAUAUCCGUUAUGGAAAAUUCAUCAUUAUGAUUUUAAUAUUUAUAAUAUUAUAAUAAUGGUGUGCAUUUUUUCUAUAAAGGACAUUGUAAUCUAUUAACAUAAAUUAAUUUAUCAUAAGAUCAUUUGCGUAAGUUUAUUCAAAUUAUUUUGCUUGCAUUUUAAUAUCGAAUAAAUGCUUUUGAUUUGAUAAAGUGUUGAUAGAUUUAUUAUAUACAGUGCUUAAAUAUUUAUAUUUUAUAAUAGCAUAUUAAUCAAUGAUUUUUAUGUUCAUUAUAUGCACUUGUAUGAUU